GGCCUGUAGCCUUUAAAUGCACAGUGGGACAUAUAGAGUUUCGUAUUUUGUUCUUCACUGUCACUAUGCCGUUGAUUUUGUUGGUUUAGGGGAGUAACAAAAAAAAUGUUAAGCCAGCAUGUGGUGGCACCGGUACAUAGGCAGGUUAUGUUGAACCGCACAUAGAAAUAUUCCGUCAAGGCCUGGGUCAGAGAUCGUCAGGUGGUCACAUCACUUAACAUAACUCGCUAAUUUCGGCUCUCAAGGCGUUGGGCCUGUAGGCCCGAUGUAGGCGGGAGAUGAUGGUCGACGGGCUCGAUCGCGGCUGUUCUGCCUUGGUUCUGUUGGGGCCGCUCUCGAACGGUAAUCGGGCACUGGGUCGCGCCUGCGCUAAAGCUGCUGGUGGGGGCCAGGGUGGUCUACCAAAAAUAUGCCCCUCUAUGGGCCAAGUGGACGCCGUAGGUAUUUCUCCGGUGUUCCGUGGGUAAUUUAUUCGGAACUCAUCCGGUAACUGGCAGCAACCGCUUCUGUCUUCUUUUUAUGUUCGCUCCAUAUGGCCGUGGCCGCGACGUAUAUGUACGUCUGUACUCUUUGUACCACGAGGAGAAGGCUCGCUCUACUUUUUCCGGAAAUCAGCUCUUCCCAGCCUAAUUUUCGAUCCCCCUUCUGUU
rnacentral:lncRNA from 1 species